rnacentral:rRNA from 1 species
UGCCUGCCGGCGACCGGCGCACGGGUGAGUAACACGUAUGUAACCUGCCCUAUGCAGGGGGAUAACCCGGGGAAACCCGGCCUAAUACCCCAUGCCGCCCGGACCGGGCAUCUGGUCCGGGCGAAAGGAGGAAUCCGGUGGCGGCUGGGCAUGCGGCGCAUUAGCUUGACGGCGGGGUAACGGCCCACCGUGGCGACGAUGCGUAGGGGUUCUGAGAGGAAGGCCCCCCACACUGGAACUGAGACACGGUCCAGACUCCUACGGGAGGCAGCAG